AGACAAAAAUAAGCUUUUUCUUUUCCGUUACUUCCUAUCCGCAUCUGCUCAUUUAAAUAAACCUGCAAACCACCAAAACCCAGUUCACACCUGUCACGUGAGAGAACAUGCCUGCGAUAUCCUGAGAAGAGAGUGUGUCGCCACCUUCCCACUCAGGAACCAUCCCUCCCCGCACACCUGCCUGCAGGUGCGCCGCUGGGGAAAAGGGCCGUCAGCCCGCCCCGUACCUCCUACUCUUCCUCCUUCCCUCCACCAGUUCCCCAGAAGGUGGAUGCCGGCCGCCCACACAGACAAGGGCCACCCCCGGAAAAUAUUUCAGAAGAAAUUCUGACUAGUGGAAGGCCCCCUCUUCACUACCUACAGGUACACAGGGAAGGGAGGAAGGAGGACGACCAAGGCCAUCCAGCUCCCUGUCCGAAGUCCCACAUGGCACACAGCACCCGAGGACAACGGCGCUAGACAUCUGACUUGGCGGCACCGUGCCCAGUCUAAUACUUUCAGGAGGCUGUCUCCCCACCUUCCCCAUUUUCCAUUAAAAGUCGAAGAGUGAGUUUACUAAAGAGAAAAACUGCAAACCACAAAGAUGCAUAUUCAAAGCUCUCGUCCAGGGGGUGGCCAAGCUGCCCUGUGCCCAAAAUGGUGGUGAGCUGGCCCACCUGGGGCUCUCCGUGCUGAGUGGGCCCCACGCCCCAUGAGCCCAGCAGUCUGCGCCAGGGGGCCGCCCAGAGAGGCCACUGCUCUCCUGGAGGGGCAUGAGGUUGGGCUUCCCCCCGGGCUCCCCCUGCGCGGCCCCCCUGACGGUUGUGGGGGAGGCAUGCAGCCCCGUAGCCCAGGGACCAGGAGCCUGGAUGCACAGCAGCUUGCUCCCCAGGGUCAAGUCUCCUCCUGCUGGCACCAUCCUGACCGGCACAGGACAGACGAAAAGAGUCAGGGCACCACAGUGUUUGCAAAAUCAUUCCCAAUUUCCCCAGAUUAUUUAAUUGUGCAAAAUCUGUGUGUCAAAGGUCAUGCCUAAUUUCAACUAACAUUUACAACUGUGGAAACUGUGAUAUCCCUGACCCUCCUGGUAAGUAGCACGCAACAGCUUCCUGGGCACGCCCCAGCCAUGCACGCACACGCACACACACGCACGCACUGCUGGCCCGCCAUCCCUGGGAGGGUACAUGCAGAAGGAACUUCUCGCAGGGCUGCCUCGCAGGGGCCCGGGGGCUGGGGGACAAGGAAGGUCAGUUAGUGCUAAUUGCAUGCUCUUCAGACGUUUUGUAUUUUCUAGCACACAGAUUUCUUUCCUUUUUUUUUUCCACAAAAGAAAGGCUGAGUAGCUUGUCCAGGUCAACAGCUAGAAUGUCCAUGGAGCUGGACUGCAAACCCAUGUCCUCCGGCUCUGAGUCCGCCCCGACCCUCUAGGCCACCAGCCCCUCUGGCCCGUGCACGCACCUGUGGGCCCAUCACCACCCAAGUGGCCAACCCCUGCUCUGAGCGCUCCUGAUGAGAAAUAACCCUUCGAUGUGCCCCUCCAGAUUUAUGUGCUUAAGGUGAACUUGUAGAACUGGAACUGCUUACUUAAGGAGAAAAUAAACAACAGAU